AUUGAAGUAAUUUAUUUAAAAUACUAAUUUGUGGCAUUAGAAAAGGUAUGCCUUAUUAUACCCUUAAUC
rnacentral:tRNA from 1 species